UACGGAGGGUGAAAGCGUUAUCCGGAUUCACUGGGUUUAAAGGGUGCGUAGGCGGGCAGGGAAGUCCGUGGUGAAAUCUCUGAGCUUAACUCAGAAACUGCCAUGGAUACUAUCUGUCUUGAAUAUUGUGGAGGUAAGCGGAAUAUGUCAUGUAGCGGUGAAAUGCUUAGAUAUGACAUAGAACACCAAUUGCGAAGGCAGCUUGCUACACAGUUAUUGACGCUGAGGCACGAAAGCGUGGGGAUCAAACAGG
rnacentral:rRNA from 1 species